UCUUUUUUUUACAGCUUCAGAUCUUUUUUUUUCACUUUCAAAUCUAUUUUUCACUUUCAGAUCAGUAUUUUUCAGUUUCAGACUUUUGGCCCCGAUUUUGCGUGGGGGGCGUGGUUUCAACGGAGAGGGGCGUGGAAUCAUGAGUGACAGUCUAACAAAGAAGGAAGAAGACUCUCCUCAGUCAUGUUGCCUUCACGAAACAUAGGCACUGCGAGAAUCAUGGCUCAAUGCUUUCUAUCCACCAUAUGCAUGUGACUGGCAGUAAACAAACUAAUGCCAGUGGCUAAGUUCCCUUGAAAAAGCUGUUUUGGACAAUACGUGGGACCAAUUACACUAUACGAGCAAUAAAUUGUGCCAGUUUGUGCAGUUCAGCAGCUACACUUUAAGAAGGAACUUCUCCCACUUACACAUACGACCAUGAACGCACCGCUGUAUUCACUCGCCAUGGCGUCCGCAGCGCCAAGGCAACCCGCUGGCGCCAGUGCACAGAGACAACCCCAACGUCAUCUGAAGAGUCUGAACUUGCUCAAGCAGGGCUUGGAAAAAGACAUCUCACCAUGUCCAGGGAUAUGAGUCACAAGGAGGUAUUACAGAUUAAACUUUGCUCAAAACGUCUUAUAUUUAAAACAUGACCCUUUUAUCCUAGUGGUAGGAUAUUCUUCAAGCAUUGAGACAUCAGCUCCUAGUCAUGGCAGGGAGGACAAUAGACAAAAGAACAAUUUCUACCUCCAUCUGCACUCCAUUUGCACUGUUUACUGUGUUAAAAGUUAUUUUAAUUCUAAUUCUAUUUUAAUAUAGGUUUAAUGUAUGUUUAAUGGAUGUAUGUUUUGUAUGCUACUGGAUACUUGAAUUUCCCUCGGGAUAAAUUAAGUGUAUCUAUCUAUCUAUCUAUCUAUCUAUCUAUCAUCACUUAGUUAUGUUCUCUUAGUUCUUUAGACUACUGCAAAAUGAGUACCCUAAGAUGCAGGGAGUGACAGGUGGAUGGCUGCUCUACAAGGCUACAGGUGGUCAGGGUAAAAGGAGACUGAUAAUGAUUCCUCCAGACUCUGAUGGAUACACCGGAACUCUUCUUCGCAGUGUCACAGGGGCAGGGAAGAACACCCUGUAUAUUGUGCCUUUGCAGCAUGAGUUUGACCUAACUCCACUACCUCCAGAUGCCAUUGAACUCCAAAGUAUGCCAAAAGCACAAUGUCAAACUUGCAAAGUGAGUUUUCCUUUGCACAUUUUGGCCCUUCAUG